AAAUUGAAGAGUUUGAUCAUGGCUCAGAUUGAACGCUGGCGGCAGGCCUAACACAUGCAAGUCGAGCGGCAGCGGAAAGUAGCUUGCUACUUUGCCGGCGAGCGGCGGACGGGUGAGUAAUGUCUGGGAAACUGCCUGAUGGAGGGGGAUAACUACUGGAAACGGUAGCUAAUACCGCAUAACGUCGCAAGACCAAAGAGGGGGACCUUCGGGCCUCUUGCCAUCAGAUGUGCCCAGAUGGGAUUAGCUAGUAGGUGGGGUAACGGCUCACCUAGGCGACGAUCCCUAGCUGGUCUGAGAGGAUGACCAGCCACACUGGAACUGAGACACGGUCCAGACUCCUACGGGAGGCAGCAGUGGGGAAUAUUGCACAAUGGGCGCAAGCCUGAUGCAGCCAUGCCGCGUGUAUGAAGAAGGCCUUCGGGUUGUAAAG
rnacentral:rRNA from 2 species